CCUACGGGGGGCUGCAGUGGGGAAUAUUGGACAAUGGGGGAAACCCUGAUCCAGCAAUGCCGCGUGUGUGAAGAAGGCCUGCGGGUUGUAAAGCACUUUCGGUUGGGAAGAAAAGUUUGGCGCCAAUACCGCCGAACCUUGACGUUACUGACAGAAGAAGCACCGGCUAACUCUGUGCCAGCAGCCGCGGUAAUACAGAGGGUGCAAACUGUAAUCGGAAUCAGUGUACGUGAAGCGUGCGGAGGGGUGUGAAAUCCCCGUGCUUAACCUGGGAACUGCAUUUGAUACUACAUGGCUAGAGUAUGGUAGAGGGAAGUGGAAUUUCCGGUGUAGCGGUGAAAUGCGUAGAUAUCGGAAGGAACACCAAUGGCGAAGGCAGCUUCCUGGACUAAUACUGACACUGAGGCACGAAAGCGUGGGUAGCAAACAGGAUUAGAUACCCGUGUAGUC
rnacentral:rRNA from 1 species